rnacentral:rRNA from 1 species
GAGUACGGUCGCAAGACUGAAACUCAAAGGAAUUGACGGGGGCCCGCACAAGCGGUGGAGCAUGUGGUUCAAUUCGACGCAACGCGAAGAACCUUACCGGGGCUUGAACUGUAACUGCAACACUUGGAAACAGGUGGUUCUCUUCGGAGACGGUUAUAGAGGUGCUGCAUGGCUGUCGUCAGCUCGUGUCGUGAGAUGUUGGGUUAAGUCCCGCAACGAGCGCAACCCUUACUCUUAGUUGCCAACAGGUAAAGCUGGGAACCCUAAGAGAACUGUCGGCGAAAAGCCGGAGGAAGGUGGGGAUGACGUCAAGUCCUCAUGGCCCUUACGUCCCGGGCUACACACGUGCUACAAUGGCUGGUACAAAGGGUUGCCAACCCGCGAGGGGGAGCUAAUCCCAGAAAGCCAGUCCCAGUUCGGAUCGCAGUCUGCAACUCGACUGCGUGAAGUUGGAAUCGCUAGUAAUCGCAGAUCAGCACGCUGCGGUGAAUACGUUCCCGGGCCUUGUACACACCGCCCGUCACAUCACGAAAGUGGGUUGUACUAGAAAUCGCCGGGCUAACCCGCAAGGGGGGCAGGCGCUUAAGGUAUGAUCCAUGAUUGGGGUGAAGUCGUAACAAGGUAGCCGAAUCGA